UACGUAGGGGGCAAGCGUUGUCCGGAAUUAUUGGGCGUAAAGAGCGUGUAGGCGGUCCGGUAAGUCCGCUGUGAAAGUCCAGGGCUCAACCCUGGAAUGCCGGUGGAAACUGUCGGGCUAGAGUCCGGAAGAGGCGAGUGGAAUUCCUGGUGUAGCGGUGAAAUGCGCAGAUAUCAGGAGGAACACCAAUGGCGAAGGCAGCUCGCUGGGACGGUACUGACGCUGAGACGCGAAAGCGUGGGGAGCAAACAGG
rnacentral:rRNA from 1 species